UAUACGGAGCAUGAUGCAGGUCAGGAAUAUGGCCAACCUGGAUGUCAGUCUAGGUGUUCUCCUGUUUCUAAGUGCACCUGCAGCUGCAAAGCUGAAAAAGUCCUUGGUCUUCUUGGCAACAGCCAAAACAUCAGUGUUGGCAAAAUUUAAAUCACAAUACAAAGAAAAUUCUGGGAGAGCAGAAUGGAAAUACACAAGCUAUUAUACUCCUGGUUUCUUCCACUCAGCCAUGCCUGCUGCUUUGGAUGGGGAGAUGGUGAUAAAUGCCUGCAAAUGGCACACAUGGAACUGCACUGCCCACGUGCUUGUGGACUCCUUCAUUUUAUCUGAACAGAGCUGAGGAUGCAAAUACUGUCUG